AACAAACGCUGGCGGCGUGCCUAAUACAUGCAAGUCGAACGUCGAAAGUUUUCGGAUGAGUAGAAGUGGCGUACGGGUGAGUAACACGUGGGUAAUCUGCCUUAGAGUGGGGAAUAACCAGUCGAAAGAUUGGCUAAUACCGCAUAAGACCACAGUAUCUGCGGAUCUAGGGGUUAAAGGAGUAAUUCGCUCUAAGAUGAGCCCGCGCGGGAUUAGCUAGUUGGUGAGGUAAUGGCUCACCAAGGCUACGAUCUCUAACUGGUCUGAGAGGAUGAUCAGUCACACUGGAACUGAGACACGGUCCAGACGCCUACGGGAGGCAGAAGUAGAGAAUAUUGCGCAAUGGGGGAAACCCUGACGCAGCGACGCCGCGUGAGUGAUGAAGGACUUCGGUUCGUAAAGCUCUGUCGCAGGGGAAUAAAUUCGAAUGUACCCUGUAAGAAAGGAUCGGCUAACUUCGUGCCAGCCGCCGCGGUAA
rnacentral:rRNA from 1 species